UAUAAUGGGUUCUAUAUUGUUGUCUGUUGUCGAGUUGCGCCGCGCCCGAGGAAGACACUGAAGCAGCGGGGCAGCUCCGCCGGGUUUUCCCAGGGAUGAACCCGCCAGAGUGGAAGAGCUCCGGAGAACAUCUGCGCUGUGUGUUGAUGCACCUUAGGAGAGAAUGAGACCAGCAAGCAAGGCAACUGCAAUGAAAGCAUCAAGAAAGACAUGAACAUGCCAGCCACCCUGAGACUGACAAUUCAUGAGAAGACAUUUCUGUCACUAACAAAGUGGAUGGUGAGCAAAGAUGGUGGCCACAUUUUGGAGCAGCACCUGGGUUUUGCAGAUGGCUAUGUAUUCUUUGGUUGUUUGUCUUUUUCCCCAUUAUGUUUCUGUUGCAUAAAGAUUCUUUGUGAGGAUAAAUCCAGAGGACACAACAUAAUGCACUGCAAAACGUCCUAAGA